rnacentral:rRNA from 1 species
UACGUAGGGUGCAAGCGUUGUCCGGAAUUAUUGGGCGUAAAGAGCUCGUAGGCGGUUUGUCGCGUCGGAUGUGAAAUCUCCACGCUCAACGUGGAGGGGCCAUUCGAAACUGUCGUGACUUGAGUCCGGUAGGGGAGUGUGGAAUUCCCGGUGUAGCGGUGAAAUGCGCAGAGAUCGGGAGGAACACCCGUAGCGAAGGCGGCACUCUGGGCCGUGACUGACGCUGAGGAGCGAAAGCGUGGGGAGCAAACAGG